rnacentral:lncRNA from 1 species
ACAGACUUAAAUUACUGUAAACUCCUGAACUGCAUGUGUUUACAUUUAUUUUUAUAGAAAUCUCGUUUAAUCAAACCACACACGGUUACGCAGUGUGGAGACAGCAGCAGAACUGUAUUAAUAAAUAAAAAUGAAAGUGUUCAGAAAACAAUGAGUCAAAGAAAUGCUUUCCAUAGAGAACCAGCUCCCUCAUCUUCAUGUUUGGAUAACUGUAGCAGAAAACAACAUGUGAAAAAAAGAGGCCCGAAAAGAUGGAAUAUUUCAGAGCACAGGGCUAUUUCCCAGAAGAAAGCAAGACCUCAUGAACGACAGAUACCUCCUGUUUCCCUAUUGGAGAAGGAUCACCGAGUUUCACUGGUACCUCUUCCUAAGAGCCAACACAUGCUUCUGGAGAAAUCUGAAGUUGCCAACAUUAAAAAAGAAGACAGUGACCCAGAAAUCAUCUGUGUAAUGGCGUCUGAGGAUGAGACUGAAGAUUUGUUUAAGUGUGGGGAAAGUAGAGAAUUUCUUUGGUUGAACAAAGGUUCAUUUGGAGGAAAACAGAAACGGCGUGACUUACAAAGGUAUAUUUGUUUUGAUCAGAAGGAUGCUACAAAAAUAAAGGGAAAUAAUUUGCCGCCUUCAAAAUUGGAAAGUGCAUUGGCUGAAGAUCAAAAAGGAUGUGCUGAAGGAAAAGCCCAAGUUGCAAUGCAGGAGACAGGUGCUGUGGCACACAUAGAAGAGUCUUCCCAGUGUAUGUCUGGAAAGAAAACGGUAGAAACUUUAACCUCUCUUUUAAGAGAUACAUAUGCCAGUGGUUCUCAACCAAGGAUACAAAGCAUACAGAAACAUGACAAAUUAAAGUUAGAAAUUU